rnacentral:rRNA from 1 species
UACGAAGGGGGCUAGCGUUGCUCGGAAUUACUGGGCGUAAAGGGAGCGUAGGCGGACAGUUAAGUCAGAGGUGAAAGCCCAGGGCUCAACCCUGGAAUUGCCUUUGAUACUGAUUGUCUUGAGUAUGGGAGAGGUGUGUGGAACUCCGAGUGUAGAGGUGAAAUUCGUAGAUAUUCGGAAGAACACCAGUGGCGAAGGCGACACACUGGCCCAUUACUGACGCUGAGGCUCGAAAGCGUGGGGAGCAAACAGG